rnacentral:lncRNA from 1 species
GCAUCUCGGAUCCUCCUGGUUGUCAUUAUCUACAGCUUUUCAGUGACUCUCCUACAUCUUGUGCUUCUCCACUUUUGCGCAGGAGAAGGGAAUGGCUUCCCCACAUACCUUUCUUUGGGGCUUUGUACUUUAUAUCUCCACGUUUGACUAUUGAAACAUCAUUUCUAAACCUCAUCUCCUGGUAAAAUGUACAGCCCAGGGAUACUUGCAAAUAUACUGCAAGAUACUUAACCAGUGGCUUGGAACAGCCUUCCAGGGACCUCGCUCUCCCCCAGGGAAUGGAAGCAUGGCUCCAUCUGUCAGAACCUUGACCUCCUGAUUUCCGGGGACCUUCACCUUUAGGCCACUCCAGCUACCCACACGCAAAGCCACACCUGGCUCUUAUCUUGGCUGGCUACUGCUCCACCCCUGAAACCUCAAAUAGCAGCGUCCCACUCUCCCUCAUAUCUUUCCAGAACUCUCUCACCACACUGGCUCUUUGACCUCUGUCUGAAUUCCAGGCUCUGGGCACCUCCUCCCUUCCCUCCCCAGCCUUUCUGAUCACAGUCUUGCCAUCCUCUUCUUCUGACACAUUGAUGGAUGAACCUAGAGUUCAAGCAAGAAAUACGGUUUUUGUAUUUGUAAGCCACUUAGAAUGUUCUGUUGUGGUUGUUAAUUGCUACAACAUCACCUGGGCCGUCCUUACUUAGGCACCUGCCUCCUGGGUGAAUGCGAAGAUGAAAGAAAGGCAAGUAAGAAGGGCACCAGCUCCAGUGCCUGGCCUAUAAUAUUUGUUCCAGGAAUAUGAGCAAUUACUCUCCCCCUCCCAAUCAUAGGGUCCACGGCAUUACCGUGUAAUAUAUCUGAAAAUGCCCAAUUAAUUCCAUCUUCCUUCUGUUCAAUAGCAAUCCCAGACUUCAUCCUUUAUCAUCCCACUAGACUUGAAGCCUCCAUAGGGAAAGGAGAAGUGAUCAGGGGGUACUUUUCUCCAAAUCUUUGAGUUUCCACUUCCCUCUCACUUUAGAAGGAGUCGAGUUCUAUGUCCCAACCACAGGAAUUGGAGGGCAGAAGUAGGAAUGCCUUCUAAGACUGGGAAAGAGUGAACACCAACUCAUUCAUUUAUUCAGCCAUCCAUUAUGAAUACCUAGCAGGAAGGCAUCUGGGGAUUGGAAAAAUGUAAUUUGAAGAUGAAGGAAGAUGGAGACCCAAAGAGAAAGUCAGGCCAACCUUCUUUUUCUUUCCCAAAUCUGCACUCUCUGUGAUGUCUCUUGCCUGCCUUGCCUUCCCAGCUACACCCAGGGGCCAAGGCUGGGAAGCAGGAGACUGGACAGAAGCUCAUGAAUCGGGCUACCCUGCCACUUUCCUGGGCAUGUGGAGGAAAGAACGAGAAAGCCAGUGAGGAACCUGUGAGGAAAGCCAGAGGAAGGAGGCAAAGUGGGGACAACCCUCCUGGAACCUCCAUCCACCCUCCCUGAUGGCCACCUGAGCAGCUGACAUAAAAAGACAGGCCUGCGUGCUUCCCCCACCUCCAGACAGGUCUUCCUGGAACCCCAGACAGACAGACGGUGAUGUUUCUCCUCUCCAGACAGCAUCCUCAGCAGCGGCCGCUGACUCAGCCACCCCGCCCUCUGUCUGGGUGGGGUGGGCGGGUAGCCGAGUCCCCAGGGUUGACGCUCUAGGUGGCACCAAGAGUAAAGUCACAGACAUCUGCAGACACAGACAUCUUUGAUUUUUCCCCCAAACCCAGGGACCUUUGCAGUUUUCUCUCCUUUACCUGUCACUCAGCCCCAGCACCUGGAUCCAAACCCAAACAGCCAUCAGCACCCUCGGUAGGAAACUGAGAUGGAAAGUCCUUGGAAGCAAAACAGCUUCCAGCUGGAAAGGCCUUAGGGACUGACCAUGCCCUCUUUGAGGAGAAAAAGGGCUGCUCACCCAUUCCAGGAAGACUCAGGAGUCUGGGCAGUGCCUGCAGAACCAGAAGAGAUGAACAGCUUAUAUCUGGGGCCAUAUUCCCGUUAAGCACAGCGGGCACGGCACCUUGGGUCACUGGUAUUUUAGGUCAAAGGAAAUGUUUUAUGAUAUAGUACUAAUGUAUUUGCCUUUAUACCAAGGCAGUUAUAAAGGCUAAUUAUACAAACACGUAUAUGCAUAUGUACAUGUGUAUGUGCAUGAGUAUGGCUGUGCCUGUAUAUAUGUGUAUGCACAGUUAUGAAGAAAGAGGUCCAUGAAGCUAGAAGUGCCUGGAGCCCAUGAAAGUCCUCUUGCUCACAUCACCUCUCGGGGUCUUGGUUUUCCCAUCUGUAAAGUGCAGACCAUAAUCCCGUCCCCAGCAUUCACCUCCGCGGUGCCAUCCCCGAACUAUCAUGACGUUACCACUUCCAGAUUCACAGCUUGGGAGGCUCCCCAUGUGUACAUUGCACAACAUCCAAACCUUGGGACGUUGCACUUGAGGCCUUUCACUGUUUUCCUCUUUGAGCUUCUCCUGCUCCCCCAGGACACAAAGCUCUCCCGUGGAAACACCUUGUCUGGUACCAGGUGUUCCCAGAACAAGCUGGACCUCGAGGUUCGGCAUGCCUUUGCACACUCAGAUCCCUUUUUGCUUCAAAUGUACCCUCUUCUCUAACUGAUCGUCUCCUACUCACAGUACUGCUACAUAAUUUGUGGGGUCCAGUGGACAAUGAAAAUAGGGGGUCCUUUGUUCAAUCACUCAGAACUUCAAGAUGGCAAAGUAGAACAUUCAGCCCAGCACAGGGCUCUUCCGAGCGUGGGGCAGAGGUCACACUCCCAUGAAGCCAGCUCUGCCUCUUCCUCUCCUGAAGUCAGCUCAGAUCUCAAUGGCUUUUUGAAGCUGGAGUGGAUCCCCAGCACAAAUAAUAGGAGGUCCCAAAACGGAGCGAUGCUUAUGUCCUAGGUGCUGUGCCAGGCACUUUAUAGCCAGGGUCUCAUUUCAUCUUCACAAUCACCCGACGAGGUAGGUAAGAUUAUGGUCCCCACUUUGCAGAUGGGGAAACCAAGGCUCAGCAAGCAGAUGUCAGAGAUGGCAUUUAAAACAAGGGCUGCCUGAGCCCAGAGCGCAUGCUCUUGCCAGCUAGGCUGCACCAUCCCUUCUGACUCCAUUGCCUUUCAAUCUGGCCUGUGCUGUCUAAGUUCUGAACUCCCCGGCCCCUGCCCUGCGCCCUCAGUUCCUGGUAAGCCAUCCUCUCAGCACCUCUGGUCCUUCAAACACAUCAAGAAGCCAAUGUCCUUUUUGCCAGCCCAGAGUAGCUUCCAGUGUCUCAGAAGACAUGCAUUCAAUCGAAAUAUCUUUUUCCUGGGAAUUAUCGGUCAGAAUUCCCACAUUCUCUGUGACCCUGAGUUUAGUCCAUUUGGGCUUCAAAAGGUCUUGGGAGCCCCUUGCCUUACCUCCAGGGCCCCUGUUAGUUCAGGCCCUCUUUAUCCUUUGUCAGACAUCAGUAUCUCCUUCACUAGCCCAUCUCUCUCUCCAAUCUGUCAGACACCCUGUAGUCAUCUUGUCUCAAAAAAUGCAGAUCUGAUCAUAUCUUCCCUCUUUAAGAUCCUCUGGGCCCCUGUUUCCUUCAGACCCCUUAGCCUGGUACAGAAGACAUUGCCAGCCUCUCCACUGGAACCUUCCCAUGUAUGAUCAUCACGAACUACUUAUUCAAAAUUCCCAGAAAGAGUCAUGCUUUCUCAUGUCCUCGUGACUGUGCAUAUAUAUGAUGCUUUCCUACCUGGCAUGCCUUUCCCAGAACUCUUAGGAAACACCUCCUGACAAGUUGAGGCUUAUUUAGCCUCACCUCCUCCAGGAAGCCUUCCAUACUGGCCCUUCCCAAGGCUGAGUUAAGGGUUUCUCCUCUACACCCCCUACGUCCCGCCAAUAACUCCCAGAGUUCCCCUCUGGCUCAGCACUUAUUUGUGUCUACAUGACUAGGCUCAGAUCCCUUUGGAGGUGGGGACCACAUCUAAUUCAUUUCUUUCUUUCUUUCUUUUUUUUUGUUUUUUCUUUUUACAGCCACACCUGCAGCAUAUAGAAGUUUCCAGGCUAUGGGUUGAAUCGGAGCUACAGCUGAGGCCUACACCACAGCCAUGGCCACACUGGAUCCAAAAUGCAUCUGCGACCUACACCACAGCUUGUGGCAAUGCUGGAUCAUUAACCUACUGUGCGAGGCCAGGGAUUAACCCACUGAGUGAGACCACGUCCUCACAGAGACUACAUCAGGUUCUUAAGCUGCUGAGCCACAGCAGGAACUCCCUGAGUUACCAGCCUCUGGCACUGGACUUCUUUGUGGCCUAAGAGGCAUACAAUAUGUAUUUUCUGGGUAAAAUCUAUACGUGAAUGACAACUGGGCCCAGGUACACUGAACGCUGGUCACCUGUCUGGCUUCAGGGGCUCCACUGAAACACAGCUGGGCAUAGCAACCUCUGCAGCGGGUAGAGAACAGGUGUCUGAAUUAGAGCGAGAGUACUGAAGGCUCAGGAAGAAAGCAAGUCAGACUGAAGGACUGAUCACCUAUUGUGCUUGAAGCUUCCAGAAAUACCUACAUUCCCAGAUGGGUGAAUGUGCUUAGAAUAUGAAGUCUAUAGCAUUAAACACUUAACUUCAGCAAAAGGAAUAAGUUGUACAAAAGCAGAAAUGCAAUCAUAAUAUUAUAUGGUUUGGCUGUGAUCUAUGUGGUCACAAGACUAAAUGCUAAAUCUAACCAGAAAUCAUGUUGUAACUAGAUCGGGAAGUUGGGAUAAGAUGAAGUGGCUUUGUAGGGAAGAGAGUUGAAUCCUUCUUGUCCAUCAUAAGCCAGUCAAUAGGACAUAUCUCAAAACACAGUAUUUAGAAACAUGGAGGAGUUCCCGCUGUGGCACAGCAAGACUGGCAAGGUCUCUGCAGUGCUAGGUCACAGGUUUGACUCCUAGCCUGGCAUAGUAGUUUGAAGGAUCCUGCAUAUAUGGUGGUCUAGGUCACAGCUGCCGGCUCGGAUCUACUCUUUGGCCUGGGAACUCUAUAGGGUGUGGGGCAGCCAAAAAAAAAAAAAAAAA